GUUCAAGUCUGCAGACAUCCUGCACACACGUGUUCACAUUGUCUGUCUGUUGCCUGCAUCGCAGUCAUAGUUGUUUUUGUUACCAAUAAUAACUUUGGAAAUGUGUGCAUUUCUAUCUAAGUCAGUGCCUUAUUAUGUUAUAAUAGUUUCUGCAUGUCGUUUUAUGUCGUUUCUACUGUAGCAUAAUAUUUUUGUGUAUAUUCCUUAUAAUCGCGGACACAUGAGUGGCGCAGCUGUCAAAGGCACAGCGUCUCAGUGCUAGAGGCGUCACUACAGACAUCCAGGUUCAAAUCCAGACUGCAUUUCUAUCCAGCUACCCUGGCCUUAUGACUCCCAAGUGGCUCCCAAGUGGCGCAAGGCACAGCAUCUCCGUGCUAGAUGCGUCACUACAGACACCCUGUUUCAAAUCCAGGCUGUG
rnacentral:lncRNA from 1 species